AGUAAACUUCUCCUACAUACAUCCGUACCCUCCUUAAACCUAAAAAAAAUCCGUUUCAAUGAGAGUCGCUUUCCCAUUCAACACCGGCACCUUUUCAAGUUAUUUUCGAAACCCCUUCAACAUCACCAUGAUUCAACCUAAAAUCAACAAUUAAACCUCUGUUUCACCGGCUCUACGGCACCAAUUAGACCAUUGCUGCUCAUAUAUCCUUUGUUAUUUUGGUUCCUAUCUAUUUUUGGCUUUGCUGCUGCUGUAUCGAGUAGAUAUUCAAAAAAGAUUUCUCAGAUUUGAUUUACUUCAAGCUUCCUUACCAUAUCCUAGUUCUUCUAGUUCGAUAAUCGAUUAUUCCUUGCACGUUUUCAGCCUUUAGUCAAAGGAUUCGAUAUGGAUCAAGCUAAACAAAAGGAAGACUGAAAGGUAACAUACGGGCAGUACUCCUCAGCAUAUGGGCACAAAUUCCUGACUAGCAACUUCAUUCAAUUGCAUCGGAUCCAUCUAUCAUCAGCUAAGUUCUUAUGGACAUUGUCCUGUCCAUCAAAAUACAAUUUUUCUUGUGGAAAACAUUGACCUAAGACCUUUCAACAUUCGACUUCAACUCCAACAUCCGCCACCGGUGCAACUCCGAUCCGAAGACUGCUGUUCAAACUCCGCUUCAACAAGAUGUUGUAUAGUUGAUGAAUUUUGGGGUAUUACAUACCCUCAUGUAAUAGGCCCUCAGUAGUUAUUUAAUAAAUAUCAUGUUUCAAAAAAAAAAUUGUAUUCUUAUUGACAAUUCCUUAGACGUGAAGAAGAAAAACAGUCGAAGUACUAAUUAUGAA